AUUGAACGCUGGCGGCAUGCUUUACACAUGCAAGUCGGACGGCAGCGGGGAGGAGCUUGCUUCUCUGCCGGCGAGUGGCGAACGGGUGAGUAAUACAUCGGAACGUGUCGAGAAGAGGGGGAUAACCACCCGAAAGGGUGGCUAAUACCGCAUAAAUUCUGAGGAAGAAAGCUGGGGACCUAGGAAUAGGCCUAGCGCUUUUUGAGCGGCCGAUGUCGGAUUAGCUAGUUGGUGAGGUAAAGGCUCACCAAGGCGAAGAUCUGUAGCGGGUCUGAGAGGAUGAUCCGCCACACUGGGACUGAGACACGGCCCAGACUCCUACGGGAGGCAGCAGUGGGGAAUUUUGGACAAUGGGGGCAACCCUGAUCCAGCCAUGCCGCGUGUAUGAAGAAGGCCUUAGGGUUGUAAAGUACUUUUGUUAGGGAAGAAAAGUCAGCUGUGAAUAAUGGCUGAUACUGACGGUACCUAAAGAAUAAGCACCGGCUAACUACGUG
rnacentral:rRNA from 1 species